rnacentral:rRNA from 1 species
AUACGGAGGAUGCGAGCGUUAUCCGGAUUUAUUGGGUUUAAAGGGUGCGUAGGCUGUGCGUUAAGUCAGGGGUGAAAUGCCGUCGCUCAACGACGGAGCUGCCCUUGAUACUGGCGUGCUGGAGUACGGAUGCCGUUGGAGGAAUGAGUGGUGUAGCGGUGAAAUGCUUAGAUAUCACUCAGAACACCGAUUGCGAAGGCAUCGGACGAACCCGUCACUGACGCUGAGGCACGAAAGCGGGGGGAUAGAACAGGAUUAGAUACCCUGGUAUUCCACGCCGUAAACGAUGAUGACUAACCGUCGGCGAUAGACAGCCGGUGGCCAAGCGAAAGCGAUAAGUCAUCCACCUGGGGAGUACGUCGGCAACGAUGAAACUUAAAGGAAUUGACGGGU